UUUAACAAGCCCCCUGCCGAUGAGCCUCACAAGAUCAAAACGAGUCGAGUGUUUUGUUUCAAUGCGGAUGAGUUAAUAUUGGUUCGAUGAAAGUCGAUAGGCCGAUGGCUAAUACGUAAGGUGCGUGACGUCAUUUAUGGACGGCUCCAAAAACACAACUUUGCGUCUUCCCCGUUGUGUUCGUGGAACUCGCCUUCUCGUGGACACCGUCUUGUGCCCCGCCGCAUCCUACGUUCGGGCUGGCGCCGAGCUCACGCGGUUGGACUACACAGUCAAGUUCGCAUCCCGGACCAGGCGAGGGGGUGCGGGAUCGACCGGGCCUGCUAUUUCUCCGCUAGUCGAUGGAAUGAAGUCGGUAGAAAUGUUUUUGUCUGGAAUGUUGACUCUCAAUGGAAAGAAUUCGCGUGAUGUCGUAGGAAUAUGUUUUUUUUUGUUACACACCACUGAUCCCAGCUUUUCCGACGAGGA